UCCUACUCAAAAAAAAAAAAAAAAAAAAAAAAAAUUACAGUGAAGCUUAUUUAAUGCAAAUGCAGAAUAUCACUUCUCUAACCAGUAUCCCUGGGGAAUGAAGACUAAGUUUUCCAGAUAAUGGGAUAAAUGUUAAGUGAAAAAUGCAUAUUUUUUAAUUCAAAAAAGAAACAUUGUAUGUUUACUAAGCGUGUGAUACAAAAUUUAACAUUUUCUGCUAACUCAAUAUUGCCUAUUAUAUAAAUUAUCUAUAAAGCAUCCCAAAGUGACGCUCUUAAAUUAGACACAUAAAGCUAUUUGCCCCUAUACUAAAUCAUGUUUUUAGCCUGGGGCCCAAGGCUGGGCUAGACCAGCCUGGCCAACAUGUGAAACCCCAUCUCUACUAAAAAUACAAAAAUUAAUGGCUGUAGGGACAGGCGCUUGUAAUCCCAGCUACUCAGGAGGCUGAGGCACAAGAAUCACUUGAACCUGGAAGGCAGAGGUUGCAGUGAGCUGAGAUCACACCACUCCACUCCAGCCUGGACAAAGAGUGAGACUGUCUGAAAAAAAAGUAAAAUUAAUUAACUACUUGCUGAAAUGACAUGGAUGGGAUUUCAAAAUUAUGCUCAUUGAAAGAAGCCAGACACAAAAUACCACUAACUGAAUGAUUCAAUUUAUAUAAAAUUCUAGAAAAGACCA
rnacentral:lncRNA from 1 species